AGAGCCCUCGGCUUCCUGCCGGGUUCCGGCCGGAGUCUCUGAAAUCAAUCGGGUCAAGGUCAAAUGGCCAAACUCAGGAACGUGGGUUUAGAGAAGAGAACGGACACCGUGCAGCCGGCUCCCAGCUGUGACUCAGCGGAAGUUCUGGACAGAGGAGGCCUUACGGAAUGUUCGUGGGUGAGAACAGAACUGCGGUUGGUGGAAUGGGCCGGAACGAGUAGACAGCGAGGCUGAGGAGGNGGGGGGGGGGGGGGGGGGGGGGGGGGGGGGCGUGUGAUGUGAUGGGGACGCUCCCCCCUCCCCACCCCCCGUGGAGCAGCUCUGAGGACGUGCGUGUGCUUAAGGACCGCCUGCUGGAAGAUGCUCGCUUCCCAGUAGGGGCCGGGGCCCCAGGAAGCCUAGCAGGGCGUUUCCCCCCUCGGCAGGGGCCGAGUCUCUGGGCCGGACCCCUAGACUGUGCCUGGCUCCUGGCUUGAUGGAGGUGGCACCCGAAGUGGACUGAGGUGGAGGGAGGGCUCCUGGCUUCCAGCCACUGCCAGACUCAGAGAAGCAGAGUUGUGGCAGGAGGGGACAGCUGGCAGGCGUCCCUUGCUGAGGUCACAGCAGCUACCUAGGCGGUGGCCUUGGUGGCCCCCUGACUCCAGGGAGGAGCUGCACUCCAGGAGUGGUGCUGAGGCGGGAGGGACGGGGCCAAAGACGAACAUGCCACAGAGACUCUUGUCCUGUGAUGAUCGCACAGAACGUGGCAGCUGAGGACCAGGGCGAGCCAGGUGUGCCAGGGCCCCCAGGGGCUCCCCUGCCAGGCAGGACCUUUGGCUCCUGCGACAGCAAAGGGAAAACAGUCACAUGCCCACUCUGACCAGGCGGUCAGGGAAAGGGGCAGGAGGGCCCCUUCUGCCAAGUAGAUGGACUCCUGCUCUUCUUUCUGUUUAUCCUCCCCUGUUAAAGUGUUAACGCCCCUUCCACAAGCUGUGCCAGCAUCUCCACCCCUUCAGAUGCCCAGCUGGCUCUCUCUCGACUCCAAGACCAUGCAUUUAUUGGGAGUUAUUUAUGUGCAAGGCCCUGUGCCUGGCGCUAACACCAAAGCAAGAUGAAUGGACGCGAAGCGGGUGGCCAAGAUCAGGGCUCAGGUUCACCCUGAGUCGCGCCCUCUGCCUGGGUCCGGCACGUCUCGUCUGUGGAACGGGCGGGACCACGCCUGCCUCGUGAAGUGACUCGAGGUCUACAUGUGAUUCUUUUAUAAAAGUCUGCAUGGUGCCCAGCAAGUGACAGGCCGUCUCUAGAUGAAGGUGCCCCCCGCCCCUCGCUGAGGAAAGGGGCCCAGUAGUCAGAUGGCAAAAAGGGUCGUGGAGACCUCAACUGAGUCCCAACCCGGGGUGCGUACUUGCUCAGCAGUCCACGGCCACGCGCUGGAAGUGCAGCCGGAGAGGACACAGGCACUUCAGCAGAGGAGCCUGUGAACAGGGCCUCGCGGGGGCCGCGGGUUUUGAUCAACCUCCUGCGCCAGUGGGAUGGCACAGCCCCGCCCAGGGGCCUCCUGGCUCACAGCCUGCUCAGAGGAUGGGGCUGCCUGGGUGCACGGAAGGAGGCAGAGGGCCAGCCUGGGGGGCCCUAGGGGACCCAGUGUCAUCCCGGAGGGCACAUUUCAGGGCCCUCCAGGGCUCCUCCAGGAGCAGAGGCUGUGUAGUCCCUGACUGUCCCUGUAGGCAGUUCCAGAAACUCUGUCUCUAGGUGACAUUCCUCAGUGCCCCGGGGCCCGGGAGCAGCCCCUUCCCACGUGUGUUCCCACAGCUGCAGGGUGUUUAAAUUGGGCCCCACUGUCCACUGAACAGCUGAAUCUUGGAAACUAUUAAAAGAAAUACAUCACACGGUAGCUUGGAAGUACUGCUGUGCCUCUGGGCGUCACUCAGACUCUUAUUAACGUGUAAUGCCUGGUCUUGAGCACAGCCAGCGACUGUCAAGAGAUCAGGGAGGGACAGGAAGGCACAAAGGGGUCAAAGGACGUGGCGCCCUGGGCAGGGAAGGCCGAGCAGAGAGUCAGCUGGGCAGAGAAGGUGAAGACGCACAUGGGCCGGCCGUUCCCCCGCAGAGAUCACUUUGGGGACAGAAAGGAGGCUCCCGCCCCCCGCCCCGCUGCUGCCAUGAAGACUGGAGCCAAGUAGGGCUGCUCCAGGGGGCUCCCUUCCCCCAUUGCCCAUCCACCACUCCGAUGAGCAGCCAGCUGUGUGUGCCACCCCCGGAGCUGCCCUGAGCCACUCUGAGACCAGGAUGGAGCAUGUGAUGCAGGGACAAGCAGAGGCUUCAAAGGAGGAGCAGCAAAUUCAGAAAGAAGGCUGCUUUUUGAGCUGAAACGGAUUCACGAAGAGAAGUUCUCCAGGCAGUGAGCAGGCAAAUGCUGGCCCCCUGCUUUCUGUGCCGUGUGGCCCUUCCAAGCGGACGUGUUAUGUGCCAAUGUGCAGACAGGAGAGCCGGGCACCCCGGCCCCAAAACAGAGGCUGUGGAACCGCAGCCCCACUUCCGUCCGGGACAAUUGCGGGGGCGUCUAACUCUGCUCGGAGUUUCUGUGCCAUCGGGGUUCCUUAGUCUGCGGUGGUGGGAAAGCCCAGUGGCCCACAGGCUUAAAUCAUGAGGAAAUGUACUCUGUCCUAUCACAAGGGCUCAGAGUCAGUCUCUGGAGGUCGUCUUAGAUACCUUUUUAACUGAAGCAUAACUACUCCAAAAACGUGCUCAAAUCGUGGAGACAGAGCUCGGUGCCUCCUCAGAGUGGACCUUCCUGGAUCAUCCAGUCCAGAUCGGAAGAGUUAAUGACACAUCCCGGUUCCCUCCGGUACAGAAGCACCUCAAUCUUGAAAACGUUUAUUUCCUCCAGGACUGCUUAUCUGCUGCGGUAAUUACCAAUAAAUCUCUCAACAUGAGAAAUCGCAGGGCGAGCGCCUCUGCGAUGAAUAGAGAGGGUGGCUGUUUCGUCUCCAUUCGUCUUGAUAAUUUUCAUCAUCACGUAAACAGCCAGACACAUUGUCAUGAUUCAUGUUCAAGAGCCUACCCAGCUCAGCGUGGAUUCUGGAGAAAUUCUCCCUAAUAAGCUGUUUUGUGAGGGCUGAAAGGCAACAGUGGGAAGCGCUGGUGAUGGUCUGGACUUGUGAGUGAAUGCGUGAGUGGGAGAGAGGAAGACAGAGGGACGGACCUCUGCGAUCAGACGCACGGAGCCCUGGAUCUAGUCGAUGAACCUCCUUCUCCGCCGAGUGGCUCCCUGGCUACUACGCUCAUCAGAAUCCCGGUUCACCUGAGUGAGCAGACACCAGAUACAAAGUGUCAAUUCCAGAUGUGUGUUUCGAGCACUUCCUCCCUUAACAUCCGAACAUAUACAAGGAUUCAGUCCACGGGAUCCCUGAAGGACUCCUGAAAAGCUGGGGUGGGGGAGGUACUCUAAAAAUAUCUGAGCACUAAAGGGAUCCUAUCCUGUUCCCAAACGAGCCCAGACGACUCUCAUCUCAGCCCAGCCGGAAGACAAUCCUCAGUGUGAGAAAACACUUCUCAGGCUGGCACCUGGAAGAAGCUAGGAUUGCCUCGCUGUCUCCAGUGAACCACCUUCCCGCCCACGAGAGAGGUAACGUCUAAGUGCCAGAGACGAAACCCAAGCAGAUGAGAUGCGCCUCAGUUCCGAGCCCAGAGGAAACCAGAUGCUCCCCGGGCUCCUUCCCUCCAGGGCAGCGCCUGUUCUUACUGUAUGUGGUUAUUUUUAAACCCUGGUGUAAAAUAUAGGAUAGCCCAGCUGUUCAGCAUCACACCCAACAUAAGGUCAAUUUUAUAGAGCUGCUCUUCCUUGAAGAGCUAACGUUAAGUGGCCCAAAAGGCCAGUUUUCCCCGCUAAUAAAGGCUUUUGUUCUUGGAAAG
rnacentral:lncRNA from 1 species